AUUGAACGCUGGCGGCGUGCUUAACACAUGCAAGUCGAGCGGUAAGGCCCUUUCGGGGGUACACGAGCGGCGAACGGGUGAGUAACACGUGGGUGACCUGCCCUCAGCUCUGGGAUAAGCCUGGGAAACCGGGUCUAAUACCGGAUAUGACUCCAUGACGCAUGUUGUGGGGUGGAAAGCCUUGUGCGGCUGAGGAUGGGCCCGCGGCCUAUCAGCUUGUUGGUGGGGUGANGGCCUACCAAGGCGACGACGGGUAGCCGGCCUGAGAGGGCGACCGGCCACACUGUGACUGAGACACGGCCCAGACUCCUACGGGAGGCAGCAGUGGGGAAUCUUGCGCAAUGGGCGAAAGCCUGACGCAGCGACGCCGCGUGAGGGAUGACGGCCUGGUU
rnacentral:rRNA from 1 species